rnacentral:rRNA from 1 species
AACGAACGCUGGCGGCAGGCCUAACACAUGCCAGUCGAGCGAGGACUUCGGUUCUAGCGGCGGACGGGUGAGUAACGCGUGGGAAUGUGCCCUUCUCUACGGAAUAGCCCUGGGAAACUGGGAGUAAUACCGUAUACGCCCUAUUGGGGAAAGAUUUAUCGGAGAAGGAUCAGCCCGCGUUGGAUUAGGUAGUUGGUGGGGUAAUGGCCUACCAAGCCGACGAUCCAUAGCUGGUUUGAGAGGAUGAUCAGCCACACUGGGACUGAGACACGGCCCAGACUCCUACGGGAGGCAGCAGUGGGGAAUCUUAGACAAUGGGGGCAACCCUGAUCUAGCCAUGCCGCGUGAGUGAUGAAGGCCUUAGGGUUGUAAAGCUCUUUCAGCUGGGAAGAUAAUGACGGUACCAGCAGAAGAAGCCCCGGCUAACUACGUG